AUUGAACGCUGGCGGCAGGCCUAACACAUGCAAGUCGAACGAGUGGCGGACGGGUGAGUAAUGUCUGGGAAACUGCCUGAUGGAGGGGGUUAACUACUGGAAACGGUAGCUAAUACCGCACACCAUCAGAUGUGCCCAGAUGGGAUUAGCUAGUUGGUGGGGUAACGGUUCACCAAGGCGACGAUCCCUAGCUGGUCUGAGAGGAUGACCAGCAACACUGGAACUGAGACACGGUCCAGACUCCUACGGGAGGCAGCAGUGGGGAAUAUUGCACAAUGGGCGCAAGCCUGAUACAGCCAUGCCGCGUGUAUGAAGAAGGCCUUCGGGUUGUAAAGUACUUUCAGCGGGGAGGCGUUACCCGCAGAAGAAGCACCGGCUAACUCCGUGCCAGCCGCCGCGGUAAUUC
rnacentral:rRNA from 1 species